GUGCCUGUAGUUUAGUGGUAAAACUUCUGCUUGUGGAGCAGAUAUCGAGAGUUCGAUUCUCUCCAGGCGCC
rfam:Candidatus Nomurabacteria bacterium RIFCSPLOWO2_12_FTLL_37_8 rifcsplowo2_12_scaffold_8900, whole genome shotgun sequence.